UGAUAGAAGAGAGAGAGGAUUAGGGGAGGUAAAAGUCAGAAGUAAGUUUUCACUCUGCUUUGCAGAGAGCAAUGCAUUUUCCCUUGAAUCUAUGCUAAUUAAGCAACCAUUACCUUCAUUCCUGACUAACUAAUCACUGAACCUCAGUCAUAAGGACCUCAGAGAUCAGCUAGACCAGAAAUUCCCUCUG
rnacentral:miRNA from 1 species